CGCGGUAAUACGGAGGGGGUUAGCGUUUUUCGGAAUUACUGGGUGUAAAGCGCGCGUAGGCGGAUUAGAAAGUUGGGGGUGAAAUCCCGGGGCUCAACCCCGGAACUGCCUCCAAAACUGCUAGUCUAGAGUUCGAGAGAGAUGAGUGGAAUUCCGAGUGUAGAGGUGAAAUUCGUAGAUAUUCGGAGGAACACCAGUGGCGAAGGCGGCUCACUGGCUCGAUACUGACGCUGAGGUGCGAAAGUGUGGGGAGCAAACAGGAUUAGAUACCCUGGUAGUCCACACCGUAAACGAUGAAUGCCAGUCGUCGGGUAGUAUACUAUUCGGUGACACACCUAACGGAUUAAGCAUUCCGCCUGGGGAGUACGGUCGCAAGAUUAAAACUCAAAGGAAUUGACGGGGGCCCGCACAAGCGGUGGAGCAUGUGGUUUAAUUCGAAGC
rnacentral:rRNA from 1 species